rnacentral:RNase_P_RNA from 1 species
UGAGGAAAGUCCGAGCUCCGUAGGGCAGGGUGCUGGGUAACGCCCAGUGGAGGCGACUCUAAGGCUAGUGCCACAGAAACAAACCGCCCCAAGUUCUGGGGUAAGGCUGAAAAGGUGAGGUAAGAGCUCACCAGCAGUUAGGUGACUAACUGGCUAGGUAAACCCCACUCGGAGCAAGGUCAAAUAGGGAAGAAGAGGUUGCCCGCCUCGUUAGACUUCCGGGUUGACCGCAUGAGGCUUUAGGCAACUAAAGUCCUAGAUAGAUGAUCAUCCUCGACAGAACUCGGCUUAUAGGUUCACUCAGAUU